GACGAACGCUGGCGGCGUGCCUAACACAUGCAAGUCGAGCGGGGGGAGUUCUUCGGAACAAACCUAGCGGCGGACGGGUGAGUAACACGUGGGUAACCUGCCUCAAAGUGGGGGAUAGCCUUCCGAAAGGAAGAUUAAUACCGCAUAACCCAUGAUUUCCGCAUGGGAGUCAUGGUAAAGAUUUAUCGCUUUGAGAUGGACCCGCGGCGCAUUAGCUAGUUGGUGAGGUAACGGCUCACCAAGGCCACGAUGCGUAGCCGACCUGAGAGGGUGAUCGGCCACAUUGGAACUGAGACACGGUCCAGACUCCUACGGGAGGCAGCAGUGGGGAAUAUUGCACAAUGGGCGAAAGCCUGAUGCAGCAACGCCGCGUGAGGGAUGAAGGCCUUCGGGUUGUAAAGCUCUGUCUUUUGGGACGAUAAUGACGGUACCAAAGGAGGAAGCCACGGCUAACUACAUGCCAGCAGCCGCCGUAAAAC
rnacentral:rRNA from 1 species